AACGUAGGUGGCAAGCGUUAUCCGGAUUCACUGGGCGUAAAGGGCACGCAGGCGGCUCUGCAGGUAGGGCAUAAAAUCUCCCGGCUUAACUGGGAGGGGCUGUUCUAAACCGCGGGGCUUGAGGGCGGGAGAGGAAAGUGGAAUUGCCGGUGUAGUGGUGAAAUGCGUAGAGAUCGGCAGGAACACCAGUGGCGAAGGCGACUUUCUGGUCCGCCCCUGACGCUCAUGUGCGAAAGCUAGGGUAGCGAACGGG
rnacentral:rRNA from 1 species